rnacentral:rRNA from 1 species
GACCCUGGCUCAGGAUGAACGCUAGCUACAGGCUUAACACAUGCAAGUCGAGGGGCAGCGGGAUUGAAGCUUGCUUCAAUUGCCGGCGACCGGCGCACGGGUGAGUAACGCGUAUCCAACCUUCCGUACACUCAGGGAUAGCCUUUCGAAAGAAAGAUUAAUACCUGAUGGUAUCUUAAGCACACAUGUAAUUAAGAUUAAAGAUUUAUCGGUGUACGAUGGGGAUGCGUUCCAUUAGGUAGUAGGCGGGG